GGGCCCGCACAAGCGGUGGAGCAUGUGGUUUAAUUCGAUGAUACGCGAGGAACCUUACCAGGGCUUAAAUGCAGUCUGACAGGAGUGGAAACACUCCCUUCUUCGGACAGAUUGCAAGGUGCUGCAUGGUUGUCGUCAGCUCGUGCCGUGAGGUGUCAGGUUAAGUCCUAUAACGAGCGCAACCCCUUUCGUUAGUUGCCAGCGAGUCAUGUCGGGAACUCUAGCGAGACUGCGGUGCAAAACGUGAGGAAGGUGGGGAUGACGUCAAAUCAUCACGGCCCUUACGUCCUGGGGCCACACACGUGCUACAAUGGUAGGGACAGAGGGCAGCUACCCCGCGAGGGGAUGC
rnacentral:rRNA from 1 species